UACGAAGGGGGCUAGCGUUGUUCGGAAUCACUGGGCGUAAAGCGCACGUAGGCGGAUGUGUCAGUCAGGGGUGAAAUCCCGGGGCUCAACCUCGGAACUGCCUUUGAUACAGCACGUCUCGAGUCCGGAAGAGGUGGGUGGAAUUCCUAGUGUAGAGGUGAAAUUCGUAGAUAUUAGGAAGAACACCGGUGGCGAAGGCGGCCCACUGGUCCGGUACUGACGCUGAGGUGCGAAAGCGUGGGGAGCAAACAGG
rnacentral:rRNA from 1 species